rnacentral:hammerhead_ribozyme from 1 species
ACAGCUGACGAGUCCCAAAUAGAACGAAACGCGUGUCCUGGAU